rnacentral:rRNA from 1 species
UACGUAGGGUGCAAGCGUUAAUCGGAAUUACUGGGCGUAAAGCGUGCGCAGGCGGUUCUAUAAGACAGAUGUGAAAUCCCCGGGCUCAACCUGGGAACUGCAUUUGUGACUGUAGAGCUGGAGUGCGGCAGAGGGGAUGGAAUUCCGCGUGUAGCAGUGAAAUGCGUAGAUAUGCGGAGGAACACCGAUGGCGAAGGCAAUCCCCUGGGCCUGCACUGACGCUCAUGCACGAAAGCGUGGGAGCAAACAGG